rnacentral:lncRNA from 1 species
AUGGCUGCCAAAGUGCUUAAGUGUAUUGGCAAGUUUAGCCUGGCCUUAGAAUUUGGCAGAAAUAGCAAAUGUGAAUGCUCUGUCUUUAAAGCCCAGGAUAUUGUAGUAGGCAUUUUCUUACCUCUUGGGUACAGAAAACAAUGAUCUUUGACUGCUAGAUGGCAUGAGAUUCAUCGCUGGAAAUAAAAAUGUAUAGAUUGUCAAUGUCCUAUGUUGCAUCCUUUUCCAUCCAGUUGUCAGACUACUUCCCCAUAUCUUCAUCGGCAACAGAGAGGACUGUGACAAGCGUGGGCUGCCAUUCAUCGCUAUGGAGAUCCUCAAGUGAGUAAUGGCUCACUUUGACAUCAGAGAUAGAGAGCUGGUCUCCAGACAGGUGAGCAAUGCCCUAUCCAACAUGUCCUUGACACGUCUGACCUUUGGGGAGGAGUUCUUGGAAGCAGUAAAAUCCAAACAAAGCUCAGCAGGAAGCAGGGAAGGCCAGAUUUGUGAUAGAAAAGUCACAGCAACAAAACAAGGCAGGCAUCACAUCUAGCAAGGGCAA